GUAGGGGGCAAGCGUUAUCCGGAUUUAUUGGGUGUAAAGGGAGCGUAGACGGCGAUACAAGUCUGAAGUGAAAGCCCGUGGCUCAACCGCGGAACUGCUUUGGAAACUGUUAAGCUGGAGUACUGGAGAGGCAAGCGGAAUUCCUAGUGUAGCGGUGAAAUGCGUAGAUAUUAGGAGGAACACCAGUGGCGAAGGCGGCUUGCUGGACAGAGACUGACGUUGAGGCUCGAAAGCGUGGGGAGCAA
rnacentral:rRNA from 1 species